CGGUUGCUUGCGAGAUUAUCAAAGCCUCAUUUCACACACACACGAGAAUCGAAACGAUUACUCUAGAAGGAUAGGUUUCAUCCCUUCUUCCUGUCCGUUCCUAACGUGGCUCGUGAGCAACUACCCUCUCA
rnacentral:ncRNA from 1 species